AGCUCCAAUAGCGUAUAUUAAAGUUGCUGCGUUUAAAAAGCUCGUAGUUGGAUCUCAGUCUCGAUCGGUCGGUCCAUCCUCUGGGUGGUUACUGGCUCAAUCGGACGUUGUUGGCCACGUUUCCGAGCAUGCUCUUCAUCGAGUGUGUUCCGGAGAGUGGAGCGUUUACUUUGAAAAAAUUAGAGUGCUCAAAGCAGGCGUUGUGCCUGGAUAGUCGUGCAUGGAAUGAUGGAAUAGGGCCUCGGUUCUAUUUUGUUGGUUUCCGGAACUCGAGGUAAUGAUUAAUAGGGACGGACGGGGGCAUUUGUAUUGCGACGUUAGAGGUGAAAUUCUUAGAUCGUCGCAAGACAAACUACUGCGAAAGCAUUUGCCAAGAAUGUUUUCAUUAAUCAAGAACGAA
rnacentral:rRNA from 1 species